UUCGACUAGGGGGUCAUCCCGACUUACCAACUCGAUGCAAACUACGAAUACCGAAGAAUGUUAUCACGGGAGACACACGGCGGGUGCUAACGUUCGUCGUGAAGAGGGAAACAACCCAGACCGCCAGCUAAGGUCCCAAAGUCAUAGUUAAGUGGGAAACGAAGUGGGAAGGCUCAGACAGCCAGGAUGUUGGCUUAGAAGCAGCCAUCAUUUAAAGAAAGCGUAAUAGCUCACUGGUCGAGUCGGCCUGCGCGGAAGAUGUAACGGGGCUAAACUAUGCACCGAAGCUGCGGCAGCGAUAUUUAGAUAUUGUUGGGUAGGGGAGCGUUCUGUAAGCCUGUGAAGGUGUGCUGUGAGGYAUGCUGGAGGUAUCAGAAGUGCGAAUGCUGACAUAAGUAACGAUAAUGCGGGUGAAAAACCCGCACGCCGGAAGACCAAGGGUUCCUGUCCAACGUUAAUCGGGGCAGGGUGAGUCGACCCCUAAGGCGAGGCAGAAAUGCGUAGUCGAUGGGAAACGGGUUAAUAUUCCCGUACUGGUGAUAAUUGCGAUGGGGGGACGGAGAAGGCUAGGCUAUCCGGGCGACGGUUGUCCCGGUUUAAGGAUGUAGGCAGGUGAAUUAGGCAAAUCCGGUUCACUAUAUGCUGAGGUCCGAYGACGAGUCACUACGGUGAUGAAGUAGCUCAUGCCCCGCUUCCAGGAAAAGCCUCUAAGCUCUAGAUUAUCAUUAAUCGUACCCCAAACCGACACAGGUGGUCAGGUAGAGAAUACUCAGGCGCUUGAGAGAACUCGGGUGAAGGAACUAGGCAAAAUGGUGCCGUAACUUCGGGAGAAGGCACGCUGGCAUUAGGUGAAGUGAUUUACUCAUGGAGCUGAAGCCAGUCGCAGAUACCAGCUGGCUGCAACUGUUUAUUAAAAACACAGCACUGUGCAAACACGAAAGUGGACGUAUACGGUGUGACGCCUGCCCGGUGCUGGAAGGUUAAUUGAUGGGGUUAUCCGUAAGGAGAAGCUCUUGAUCGAAGCCCCAGUAAACGGCGGCCGUAACUAUAACGGUCCUAAGGUAGCGAAAUUCCUUGUCGGGUAAGUUCCGACCUGCACGAAUGGCGUAAUGAUGGCCAGGCUGUCUCCACCCGAGACUCAGUGAAAUUGAACUCGCUGUGAAGAUGCAGUGUACCCGCGGCAAGACGGAAAGACCCCGUGAACCUUUACUAUAGCUUGACACUGAACAUUGAGCCUUGAUGUGUAGGAUAGGUGGGAGGCUUYGAAGCGUGGACGCCAGUCUGCGUGGAGCCAACCUUGAAAUACCACCCUUUAAUGUUUGAUGUUCUAACGUUGCCCCAUUAUCUGGGGUGCGGACAGUGUCUGGUGGGUAGUUUGACUGGGGCGGUCUCCUCCCAAAGAGUAACGGAGGAGCACGAAGGUUGGCUAAGCAUGGUCGGACAUCAUGCGGUUAGUGCAAAGGCAUAAGCCAGCUUGACUGCGAGAGUGACGGCUCGAGCAGGUACGAAAGUAGGUCUUAGUGAUCCGGUGGUUCUGAAUGGAAGGGCCAUCGCUCAACGGAUAAAAGGUACUCCGGGGAUAACAGGCUGAUACCGCCCAAGAGUUCAUAUCGACGGCGGUGUUUGGCACCUCGAUGUCGGCUCAUCACAUCCUGGGGCUGAAGUAGGUCCCAAGGGUACGGCUGUUCGCCGUUUAAAGUGGUACGCGAGCUGGGUUUAGAACGUCGUGAGACAGUUCGGUCCCUAUCUGCCGUGGGCGUUGGAAGAUUGAAAGGGGCUGCUCCUAGUACGAGAGGACCGGAGUGGACGCACCACUGGUGUUCGGGUUGUCAUGCCAAUGGCAUUGCCCGGUAGCUAAGUGCGGAAGAGAUAACCGCUGAAAGCAUCUAAGCGGGAAACUUGCCUUGAGAUGAGUCUUCCCUGACUCUUUAAGGGUCCUAAAGGAACGUUUAAGACUAAGACGUUGAUAGGUUGGGUGUGUAAGCGUAGCGAUACGUUGAGCUAACCAAUACUAAUGAACCGUGAGGCUUAACCUG
rnacentral:rRNA from 1 species